CCUACGGGAGGCAGCAGUGGGGAAUAUUGCACAAUGGGGGAAACCCUGAUGCAGCGACGCCGCGUGAGUGAAGAAGUAAUUCGUUAUGUAAAGCUCUAUCAGCAGGGAAGAAAAUGACGGUACCUGAGUAAGAAGCCCCGGCUAACUACGUGCCAGCAGCCGCGGUAAU
rnacentral:rRNA from 1 species